ACCCGCUGAACUUAAGCAUAUCAAUAAGCGGAGGAAAAGAAACCAACAGGGAUUGCUCUAGUAACGGCGAGUGAAGCAGCAAUAGCUCAAAUUUGAAAUCUGGCGUCUUCGACGUCCGAGUUGUAAUUUGUAGAGGAUGCUUCUGAGUGGCCACCGACCUAAGUUCCUUGGAACAGGACGUCAUAGAGGGUGAGAAUCCCGUAUGCGGUCGGAAAGGCGCUCUAUACGUAGCUCCUUCGACGAGUCGAGUUGUUUGGGAAUGCAGCUCUAAAUGGGAGGUAAAUUUCUUCUAAAGCUAAAUAUUGGCCAGAGACCGAUAGCGCACAAGUAGAGUGAUCGAAAGAUGAAAAGCACUUUGGAAAGAGAGUUAAAAAGCACGUGAAAUUGUUAAAAGGGAAGGGAUUGCAACCAGACUUGCUCGCGGUGUUCCGCCGGUCUUCUGACCGGUCUACUCGCCGCGUUGCAGGCCAGCAUCGUCUGGUGCCGCUGGAUAAGACUUGAGGAAUGUAGCUCCCUCGGGAGUGUUAUAGCCUCUUGUGAUGCAGCGAGCGCCGGGCGAGGUCCGCGCUUCGGCUAGGAUGCUGGCGUAAUGGUCGUAAUCCGCCCGUCUUGAAACACGGACCAAGGAGUCUAACAUCUAUGCGAGUGUUCGGGUGUCAAACCCCUACGCGUAAUGAAAGUGAACGGAGGUGAGAACCGCAAGGUGCAUCAUCGACCGAUCCUGAUGUCUUCGGAUGGAUUUGAGUAAGAGCGUAGCUGUUGGGACCCGAAAGAUGGUGAACUAUGCCUGAAUAGGGUGAAGCCAGAGGAAACUCUGGUGGAGGCUCGCAGCGGUUCUGACGUGCAAAUCGAUCGUCAAAUUUGGGUAUAGGGGCGAAAGACUAAUCGAACCAUCUAGUAGCUGGUUCCUGCCGAAGUUUCCCU
rnacentral:rRNA from 1 species